AUUGAACGCUGGCGGCAUGCCUAACACAUGCAAGUCGAACGGGGUAGCAAUACCCAGUGGCGGACGGGUGAGGAAUACAUAGGAAUUUGCCUUUAGGUGGGGAGUAGCCCGGGAACGUACGGAGUAAUACCGCAUGAUGUCGAAAGAACCAAAGACAGGGGAGUCGCAAGACCUUGCGCCCUUAGAGAAGCCUAUGUCUGAUUAGCAAGUUGGUAGGGUAAUGGCCUACCAAGGCGACGAUCAGUAACUGGUCUGAGAGGACGAUCAGUCACACCGGAACUGAGACACGGUCCGGACUCCUACGGG
rnacentral:rRNA from 1 species